rnacentral:RNase_P_RNA from 1 species
ACACUGCUGCGGCUUGUCGCUGGUACACAAAUAUUGGUGUACGAGAGGAAAGUCCGGGCAGCACAGGACACUCCACUUCCGAAAAUAGAAGCUGUUGGCGACAGCAGGAUCAGGCAGAAGAGAACGACCGCUCCAUAUCGUUUGGAGUAAGGGUGAGAAGGUGGUGUAAGAGACCACCAGCCGCCGGGCGAUCGGCGGGCUGUGCCUUCUGGAGGCUGCAAGUUCAUGUAAACCAUCGUUAAAAGGGUCGUCCGCCCGAAUGCCCCGUGGCUACGAUGGAGGGUAGAAUGCUUAAGCCGUGUGGUGACAUACGGAUUAGAUAAAUGACAGGCACAACAAUGCACGCAUUGCUGGACAGAACCCGGCUUAUAGCGGCAGUGUUUCC